AGUCUGGUGCCAGCAGCCGCGGUAAUUCCAGCUCCAAUAGCGUAUAUUAAAGUUGUUGCAGUUAAAAAGCUCGUAGUUGAAUUUCGGGGUUAGUAGGUUGGUCAUGCCUCUGGUAUGUACUGGUCUCACUGAUUCCUCCUUCCUGAUGAACCGUAAUGCCAUUAAUUUGGUGUUGCGGGGAAUUUGGACUGUUACUUUGAAAAAAUUAGAGUGUUUAAAGCAAGCUAACGCUUGAAUACAUUAGCAUGGAAUAAUGAAAUAGGACGUUCGAUCCUAUUUUGUUGGUUUCUAGGAUUGACGUAAUGAUUAAUAGGGAUAGUUGGGGGCAUUAGUAUUCAAUUGUCAGAGGUGAAAUUCUUGGAUUUAUUGAAGACUAACUACUGCGAAAGCAUUUGCCAAGGAUGUUUUCAUUAAUCAAGAACGAAAGUUAGGGGAUCGAAGACGAUCAGAUACCGUCGUAGUCUUAACCAUA
rnacentral:rRNA from 1 species